GAUGGCGCCACGGUAGGCAGCCUGUUACUGCAGCUCCCAGACUGAUUCCAGAUCUGAUCAAAGCUGUACUGACGGGUUCAACAGAUCAUAAAACAACCACCACCACCAACAAGAAGCAGAGCAGAAACUGUCAGACCAACUAUCAGACCAACAG